AGCAUUAUUUGAUCAUAAAACACAUUCAUCUAUACCUAAAUCAUCGAUGCAGAGAGCCCUUGCAUAGAAUUAAUAGUACCGAAAAAGGAAAGCUACUCAUUCAAUCAUGACUAAGAUCACCGGUCUGUUCCUUUGCUUCUUCUUAUUUGUCUUGAUUUCCAUGCCGACCUCUUCUGCUACCAGGAUGAUACUUCAGGAGGGUGUAAGUGGGUGCCCAAGAAGAGCUCCGUCAUGCGCAGGAGUUGUGUGCGACCCAGUAGUUUUUUGCCCACUAUUUGUUCUUAACUGUCCAGAUGGUCAGUACGCCUACAAGCCGUGUUGUAGAUGCGGCCAAACAUGCUGUCCUAUCAGAAAGUACUGAUUGUACUGCGUUUCGUACAUGGUAUUGCGACAUAUAUGUAUCUUUUCUAAUCGUUGUUUGUGAGUGAACGGUAUUGUGUUUACUUUUCUCCGCUGAAUAAUUUAAUGUAGUUUACCACAUCAUAGUUUUAUGUAAUUCCAUGUUUGUAUUCUCUACCAUAAAUUUGAAGUGUGACGUCUAUCCUUUUGUGUUGUGUUAAAA